UUUUUAGAGUUUGAUCCCUGCUCAGGACGAACGCUGGCGGCGUGCCUAAUACAUGCAAGUCGAACGCUUCUUUCCUCCCGAGUGCUUGCACUCAAUUGGAAAGAGGAGUGGCGGACGGGUGAGUAACACGUGGGUAACCUACCCAUCAGAGGGGGAUAACACUUGGAAACAGGUGCUAAUACCGCAUAACAGUUUAUGCCGCAUGGCAUAAGAGUGAAAGGCGCUUUCGGGUGUCGCUGAUGGAUGGACCCGCGGUGCAUUAGCUAGUUGGUGAGGUAACGGCUCACCAAGGCCACGAUGCAUAGCCGACCUGAGAGGGUGAUCGGCCACACUGGGACUGAGACACGGCCCAGACUCCUACGGGAGGCAGCAGUAGGGAAUCUUCGGCAAUGGACGAAAGUCUGACCGAGCAACGCCGCGUGAGUGAAGAAGGUUUUCGGAUCGUAAAACUCUGUUGUUAGAGAAGAACAAGGACGUUAGUAACUGAACGUCCCCUGACGGUAUCUAACCAGAAAGCCACGGCUAACUACGUGCCAGCAGCCGCGGUAAUACGUAGGUGGCAAGCGUUGUCCGGAUUUAUUGGGCGUAAAGCGAGCGCAGGCGGUUUCUUAAGUCUGAUGUGAAAGCCCCCGGCUCAACCGGGGAGGGUCAUUGGAAACUGGGAGACUGAGUGCAGAAGANGAGANG
rnacentral:rRNA from 1 species